rnacentral:rRNA from 2 species
GAUUAUUGGGGCGUAAGCGCGCGCAGGCGGUUUCUUAAGUCUGAUGUGAAAGCCCACGGCUCUACCGUGGAGGGUCAUUGGAAACUGGGGAACUUGAGUGCAGAAGAGAAAAGCGGAAUUCCACGUGUAGCGGUGAAAUGCGUAGAGAUGUGGAGGAACACCAGUGGCGAAGGCGGCUUUUUGGUCUGUAACUGACGCUGAGGCGCGAAAGCGUGGGGAGCAAACAGGAUUAGAUACCCUGGUAGUCCACGCCGUAAACGAUGAGUGCUAAGUGUUAGAGGGUUUCCGCCCUUUAGUGCUGCAGCUAACGCAUUAAGCACUCCGCCUGGGGAGUACGGUCGCAAGACUGAAACUCAAAGGAAUUGACGGGGGCCCGCACAAGCGGUGGAGCAUGUGGUUUAAUUCUAAGCAACGCGAAGAACCUUACCAGGUCUUGACGUCGUCUGACAACUCUAGAGAUAGAGCGUUCCCCUUCGGGGGACAGAGUGACAGGUGGUGCAUGGUUGUCGUCAGCUCGUGUCGUGAGAUGUUGGGUUAAGUCCCGCAACGAGCGCAACCCUUGAUCUUAGUUGCCAGCAUUUAGUUGGGCACUCUAAGGUGACUGCCGGUGACAAACCGGAGGAAGGUGGGGAUGACGUCAAAUCAUCAUGCCCCUUAUGACCUGGGCUACACACGUGCUACAAUGGAUGGUACAAAGGGCUGCAAGACCGCGAGGUCAAGCCAAUCCCAUAAAACCAUUCUCAGUUCGGA